rnacentral:rRNA from 1 species
ACACUGACGUCGCGACGCAUAUCAAUAAGCGGAGGAAAAGAAACUAACAAGGAUUCCCUUAGUAACGGCGAGUGAAGCGGGAAGAGCCCAAAUUUGAAAUCUUCAAGGUUCUACCUUGACGAAUUGUAGUUUAUAGAAGUGUUCUCUGUUAGUGGAGUGGCAAAAGUUCUUUGGAAUAGGACAUCAUAGAGGGUGAGAAUCCCGUAUUUGGUCAUUCCUCCUAGCGUUGUGAUACACUUUCAACGAGUCGGAUUGUUUGGGAAUGCAGUCCAAAAUGGGUGGUAAAUUUCAUCUAAAGCUAAAUAUUGGCGAGAGACCGAUAGCGAACAAGUACCGUGAGGGAAAGAUGAAAAGAACUUUGAAAAGAGAGUUAAACAGUACGUGAAAUUGUCAAAAGGGAAGCGUUUGACACCAGUGUUGUUUUCUCGAAAAUCAAUUAAAAAAGGUUGGAUUUUGUGUUGAUAUUGACCUUAACAGCUUUCUUCACUCUUUUCCUGCCUUUUUUAAUGCACUUUUCGUUUAACAAGUCAACAUCAGUUUCUUUUGUUGUAAAAAGGUCAUUGGAAGGUGGCUUUCUUUUCGGAGAAAGUGUUUAUAGCCUUUGAUCUCUGCAAUCGGAGAGACUGAGGUCUGCAGCGUAGACUCCUCUCGGGGGUUAGAUACAUUUGUGCUAAGUUAUAGCUUUUCAUAGACAACUUGUUGACUAUGUUUUAGUCAUGUAGCUUACUCGCUUAUGCUAUUUUACCUACGCUUAGGAUGUUGAGUAGCGACAUACGCAC